GGCGCGGUGACCGAGUGGCCUAAGGUGGCACCUUGCUAAGGUGUUGUGCAUUGCACGCGAGAGUUCGAAUCUCUUCCGCGUCG